ACGGGAGGCAGCAGUGGGGAAUAUUGGGCAAUGGGCGAAAGCCUGACCCAGCAACGCCGCGUGAAGGAAGAAGGCCUUCGGGUUGUAAACUUCUUUUACCAGGGACGAAGGACGUGACGGUACCUGGAGAAAAAGCAACGGCUAACUACGUGCCAGCAGCCGCGGUAAUACGUAGGUUGCAAGCGUUGUCAGGAUUUACUGGGCGUAAAGGGCGUGUAGGCGGUCUUGCAAGUCAGAAGUGAAAUUCCUGAGCUCAACUCGGGCGCUGCUUCUGAAACUGCAGGACUUGAGUGCUGGAGGGGAUAGCGGAAUUCCUAGUGGAGCGGUAAAAUGCGCAGAUAUUAGGAAGAACACCGGUGGCGAAGGCGGCUAUCUGGACAGUAACUGACGCUGAGGCGCGAAAGCGUGGGGAGCAAACAGGAUUAGAUACCCUGGUA
rnacentral:rRNA from 1 species